GAAGCUGUGAGUCUGUUAAUCAGGAGGAAGAGGAGCUGAGAGCUUCAGGGAGGAGCUGAGCUGUUACUGAACUAUAGAAGAGACACAAACUUCCACAUUCAACACAGUUCAAACAUUAACUCUGAUCAUCAUGCUGUCUUUGCUCACAUCUGGAUUUACUCUGCUGGUUCUGCUUAUAGGAACAGGUGUAAACUGCCAACAACUCACUGCAGCAAAGACUGAAGAGUUCAGUCUAGAAGGCAGCUCUGUUACUCUGUCCUACAGUUACUCCAACAAGAUAGCUAGUGAUGAUUAUUUCUUCUGGUAUCGACAAUAUCCAGGAAAACCUCCAGAGUUCAUCAUGUACAUCUCAGGGCUCAACAUUGUGAAAUCAGCAGAUAAUCUGAAAUCAGCAUCAAGAUUCUCCACUAAACUGAGAGAAGAGAAACGCCUGGACCUGCUGAUCUCCUCUGCUGCAGUGACUGACUCUGCUGUGUACUACUGUGCUGUGAGGCCCACAGUGACAGGAAACACCAGAACUCUGUACAAGAACCUGCAAUACUCCACAGCAUCCACUAGAGGGCCUCACACACUGUUCCUCCUCUAUGGUUUGUUAGGAUUCAGUCUGAUUGUUUGUGCAGCUGAGAAUAAAGCAGACAUCAGAGUGUUUGCUGCAUCAUUGAACUCUUUAUGAUAGAAAGGUUUGGAUCAUAAAGGAGGGAUGAUGGAGGCUCCAGGAUGGAGGUGCAGCCUCUGCAGGACAUCAGCACCAUGGACAGAGUUCUGUUUCACCAUCUAGAUGUGUUUCAGUCCAGUUCUGUCCUGCUGUCAGACCACUGAUCUUCUACACAGAGAUUUAUGUCCACAGGCUAAAACCUCAUGAUGCAUUCAGGUACACUGAAUGAUGCAUUAAAGCACGUAUUCAGAGAAAAUAUAUU